GCAUUUCCUGCCAAAGCCAUGGAGCCUAAAGAACUAAUACCCUGGACCCGCCAUUGUCAUUACUGAGGACAGGUAAAUGUAGAAUUAAUUAAGGAGGAUAUACAUUAUUAUAACUAUAAUUAAAUAAUGAGUACAUGUUCAUUCAAAAGUUUAUACUCCAAUAAGAUUCAUUAUAGAGGUGAACCUAAUGGAGUUAAAGGGGCUGAGGGUUUGUAAGUCUCGUUAGCCACUGGUUGCCAGACCAGCCUACAGUCAUUGGGUGGUAGCUGGGGAAUGGUCUGGCUAGUGAGACUAGGCCGGGGGGACAUGGAGCCUAAGGAACUGAUGAGUCUAAUACCCUGGAUCAGCAUUGGGAUGACUGGGGUCAGAUUCAUUUUUCAUCUUUGGAGUGCCAUUUAGAGACUUAAACAUCAGCCACUUGAUGUGUGAUUGGAAGAACUUGUAGAGAAAAUUUCUUUGUCGAUCACAUGAUAAAAUUGACUGGCAAGUAAGACAUGCGUUUGAAACACAGGGCAGCUGGUACUGCAAAAGAGGAUUAAUGAAAGAAUUGAUCUUAUGCAAUGUAAUGUUGCCUCCACGUGGCACUGCCUGGGAUCACUAUUGGCUACUACUGCUAGUGAUGCUAAGAGCACUACAGCUGAAAUAAUACAGGCAAAGUUUCAGAAGAAGAUGAUACGUGUAAAUUUAUAAAUGUAACUCAAGGAAGGUCAAAAGAUAUACCAAGAUCAACAGAAGUAUCAGCAAAAUCAGAUUCAGCCAAUUCCUCUGCCUGACUG